CAGCAGCCGCGGUAAUACGUAGGUGGCAAGCGUUGUCCGGAAUUAUUGGGCGUAAAGGGCUCGCAGGCGGUUCCUUAAGUCUGAUGUGAAAGCCCCCGGCUCAACCGGGGAGGGUCAUUGGAAACUGGGAAACUUGAGUGCAGAAGAGGAGAGUGGAAUUCCACGUGUAGCGGUGAAAUGCGUAGAGAUGUGGAGGAACACCAGUGGCGAAGGCGACUCUCUGGUCUGUAACUGACGCUGAGGAGCGAAAGCGUGGGGAGCGGACAGGAUUAGAUACCCCUGUAGUCCCUGUCUCUUAUAU
rnacentral:rRNA from 1 species